CUGCCCGGAGGUGCGCUUGGGGUCCAGAUUGGCCGAUGAAUAUGUAUAUCCGCAGCGCCUCCUUCACUCCGAAGACUUUCACUUUCCCCCUUGCACAAAACCGAACAUCCCACCCCACCCCCACCUCCAAGCUAAAAUACCUGGGCCGCCCCUCCCCACGAAGGGACGCCCUCCAGGCGAAUGGGGAGGGCCCGGAAGUCGGGCCUGAGACAGGGGAGCCGGCCCACCGCCUCCCGGUCGGAAGCGGCAGUGCAGGUGAGGCCGCGGCCAGCCUGGGGACUGCGCGGGUAAGGAGCGGGAGGGCCGACUGCACCGCGAAGUUGGCGGGGGACGGCCGCGCACGCCUCGCCUCGGCCUUCCUGCCCCGUAGGGGCUGGCCGCCCUCCCGCCACCCCUGGGCACCUGCCGACCACGUCUGGGCGGGGGCGGGCCGGCUCCGGCCCUCGGGCCCUCACCCCACCCCGGCCAGCCGCGGCGGGGACGUCGGGUCAGCGAAGGGUUAAGGGACUUGCUCCCUUCUCUCGGCUCCCUCACCCUUGGAAAGUCCCCGAAAUGACGUUUCAACCCGACAAUUUAAAAAAGAGUUUAAUUAUAGAGACAGGCUCUGGGAGCUGGAACAAACUCUCGGUCGGCGGGGCCGGUAAACAACUCGGGAGCGAGCGGGCUAGGCCAGCCGCAGCCUUGCGGAGCCCGCGCCCCUAGGGAGAGGGGGAGGGGAGGGCCGCCGGGAGUUGGAAAAGCCGAGGAAAUUCGAGGAAUCAGCUUUCUUUGGAAAAACCCACUUUGUAGCCAUUCUGGGGCGCCUGAUGGUGCUCCUGGCGGGUCCUGCAGCCUUGUAGCGAAAGCGGCGCCGCCCGAAGCAGGGGCACAGCCGGUGCCCCGCGGGGACAGGCCCUGGGCCGGGAAGGGGCCCCGCCCGCUCCCAGUCCCCUUCCCCUUUGCUUUUUUCCAGCCCCUCCUCCGGUCCCCCAAGCUGAGCUUCGCGAACCCUCGGGAGUUAAAGACCCGCCGGCCCUUUCUUUUUGGGGGGUGGGGGAGCGGGAAUGGGUGGAGGCCAGGGGAAUAAAAAACCGAAAUAGCUUCACAUCAGAACUCAGACUAACCUUGUGGUUUCAACGCGCACCCUGCUCUGUCCUGAAAUCUGGAACUCAUUACCUCAUCACCAAGAAACUGCACGAAAUCUUCCCCCCCGCCCCAACACCCACUUCGGCUGGGAAAAGAACGAGCAAACAUCCCUGUAAGAAAGAAACCUACACUUGAAUGAUUUAAAUUAAGGUGGAUGGAAGUUAUUUCCCUUUCUGGCGCUUGCCAGAUUUCAAGAAAAGCGGAAAAAUGGGAGCAGGGGGAGGGAAGCAACAGGCGGCUGCAGGGCAGCAGCCGGGUUAAAGUGGGGGCCGUCCAUUUCAGGCAGAGGAGACGAACGAAAGCCGACGCCGCUGGGAUCACGUAGGUUCGUGGCUGUAGCAAACGUUGUGUUUCGCAAAGCUGAAAAACAACCGGUUUCUCAAACAGUUGUGAUUUGGAAGGUUUCGCUGGGUUUGCCCAGAUGUUGAUGAAUAAAUAAGAAAUGCAUUAAAAAAAAAAAAAA